rnacentral:tRNA from 1 species
GCCUGGCUCGCUUAGUUGGUAGAGCAUGUGACUCUUGAUCUCAGAGUAGCGAGUUCAAGUCCCACUUUGGGCG